AUGCAUUAUUCGAUCGUGUGCAAACAUUGCACUGCUGCUUUGACUUGUAAAUUUCACUUGUCAAAAUUUCAGGCAUAUGUUUUGAUUCACCGUGAAAACAGAGUGUACAACAAAAACACAUCAAACCUACAAUUUGUUCACUACGGUCAGCUAAAUUCUUCUUGCUAUUUGCUCCAACAAGUUGCUAUAAUCCUGCUGACUCUGUUUACAUUUGGAAUAUCUAAUUUUUUAGAAAUUCUGAUUUUAUGGUUUCAUUUGGAGCGACAACCAUAUGAUACCAGGGGCUAUGAUUGGAUGCACAACCACAUUGGUCCUCCACACAGUACAGAAUCAAAAGUGUUUCUAAGUUUCACCAAAUCUACUCCUCCAGGUUAA
rnacentral:rRNA from 1 species